UACAGAGGGGGCAAGCGUUGUUCGGAAUUACUGGGCGUAAAGAGUGCGUAGGCGGUUUUCUAAGUUUGGUGUGAAAUCUCCCGGCUUAACUGGGAGGGUGCGCCGAAGACUGGAAGGCUUGAGUAUGGGAGAGGUAAGCGGAAUUCCUGGUGUAGCGGUGAAAUGCGUAGAUAUCAGGAGGAACACCUGCGGUGUAGACGGCUUACUGGACCAUAACUGACGCUGAGGCACGAAAGCGUGGGUAGCAAACAGG
rnacentral:rRNA from 1 species